ACGGGUGAGUAAUGCCUAGGAAUCUGCCUGGUAGUGGGGGAUAACGUUCGGAAACGGACGCUAAUACCGCAUACGUCCUACGGGAGAAAGCAGGGGACCUUCGGGCCUUGCGCUAUCAGAUGAGCCUAGGUCGGAUUAGCUAGUUGGUGAGGUAAUGGCUCACCAAGGCGACGAUCCGUAACUGGUCUGAGAGGAUGAUCAGUCACACUGGAACUGAGACACGGUCCAGACUCCUACGGGAGGCAGCAGUGGGGAAUAUUGGACAAUGGGCGAAAGCCUGAUCCAGCCAUGCCGCGUGUGUGAAGAAGGUCUUCGGAUUGUAAAGCACUUUAAGUUGGGAGGAAGGGCAGUUACUUAAUACGUGAUUGUUUUGACGUUACCGACAGAAUAAGCACCGGCUAACUCUGUGCCAGCAGCCGCGGUAAUACAGAGGGUGCAAGCGUUAAUCGGAAUUACUGGGCGUAAAGCGCGCGUAGGUGGUUUGUUAAGUUGGAUGUGAAAUCCCCGGGCUCAACCUGGGAACUGCAUUCAAAACUGACUGACUAGAGUGUGGUAGAGGGUGGUGGAAUUUCCUGUGUAGCGGU
rnacentral:rRNA from 1 species